rnacentral:rRNA from 1 species
ACGGGUGAGUAACGCGUGGGAACAUACCCUUUUCUACGGAAUAGCUCUGGGAAACUGGAAUUAAUACCGUAUACGCCCUACGGGGGAAAGAUUUAUCGGGGAAGGAUUGGCCCGCGUUGGAUUAGCUAGUUGGUGGGGUAAAGGCCUACCAAGGCGACGAUCCAUAGCUGGUCUGAGAGGAUGAUCAGCCACAUUGGGACUGAGACACGGCCCAAACUCCUACGGGAGGCAGCAGUGGGGAAUAUUGGACAAUGGGCGCAAGCCUGAUCCAGCCAUGCCGCGUGAGUGAUGAAGGCCUUAGGGUUGUAAAGCUCUUUCACCGAUGAAGAUAAUGACGGUAGUCGGAGAAGAAGCCCCGGCUAACUUCGUGCCAGCAGCCGCGGUAAUACGAAGGGGGCUAGCGUUGUUCGGAAUUACUGGGCGUAAAGCUCACGUAGGCGGAUAUUUAAGUCAGGGGUGAAAUCCCAGAGCUCAACUCUGGAACUGCCUUUGAUACUGGGUAUCUUGAGUAUGGAAGAGGUAAGUGGAAUUGCGAGUGUAGAGGUGAAAUUCGUAGA